AACGAACGCUGGCGGCAGGCCUAACACAUGCAAGUCGAACGGACGUAGCAAUACGUUAGUGGCAGACGGGUGAGGAACACGUGGGAACAUGCCCUUUGGUUCGGAAUAACUCAGGGAAACUUGAGCUAAUACCGGAUAAGCCCCUUGGGGGAAAGAUUUAUCGCCAUUGGAGUGGCCCGCGUCCGAUUAGCUAGUUGGUGAGGUAAUGGCUCACCAAGGCGACGAUCGGUAGCUGGUCUGAGAGGAUGAUCAGCCACAUUGGGACUGAGACACGGCCCAAACUCCUACGGGAGGCAG
rnacentral:rRNA from 1 species